AGGUCAAGCUACAAAGGGCGCAUGGUGAAUGCCUUGGCAUCAGGAGCCGAUGAAGGACGUGAUAAGCUGCGAUAAGCUUCGGGUAGGCGCACAUAGCCUGAGAUCCGAAGAUCUCCGAAUGAGGAAACUCACAUGGGAAACCCCAUGUAUCAUUAAGUGAAUACAUAGCUUAAUGAAGGUAACCCAGGGAACUGAAACAUCUAAGUACCUGGAGGAAGAGAAAGAAAAAUCGAUUUUCUUAGUAGCGGCGAGCGAAAGGGAAAGAGCCCAAACCGGAAACUUGUUUCCGGGGUUGUGGACAUAACAUAAAAGUGGAGGCUAUUGUAACUGAAGAGAACUGGAAAGUUCCACCGUAGAAGGUAAUAGUCCUGUAAGUGAAACGAGAAGACCACGAGUUAUGAUCCAGAGUACCACGAGACACGUGAAACCUUGUGGGAAGCAGGGAGGACCACCUCCCAAGGCUAAAUACUACCUGAUGACCGAUAGUGAAGCAGUACCGUGAGGGAAAGGUGAAAAGAACCCCGGGAGGGGAGUGAAAUAGAACCUGAAACCGUGUGCCUACAACCGCUCAGAGCCCCUUAUGAGGGUGAUGAGGUGCUUUUUGUAGAACGAGCCAACGAGUUACGGUAUGUAGCAAGGUUAAGUACUUAAGGUACGGAGCCGAAGGGAAACCGAGUCUGAAUAGGGCGACUAGUUGCAUGCCGUAGACCCGAAACCGGGUGACCUAUCCAUGGCCAGGUUGAAGCGAGGGUAAAACCUCGUGGAGGACCGAACCACGUUGCUGUUGAAAAAGCAUGGGAUGAGCUGUGGAUAGCGGAGAAAUUCCAAUCGAACCCGGAGAUAGCUGGUUCUCUCCGAAAUAGCUUUAGGGCUAGCGUCGAGUAUGAGUAGUGGAGGUAGAGCACUGAAUGGGCUAGGGGGCAUAGCGCUUACCGAACCUUAUCAAACUCCGAAUGCCACAUACUUUGAGCUCGGCAGUCAGACUACGAAUGAUAAGAUCCGUGGUCAAAAGGGAAACAGCCCAGAUCGUCAGCUAAGGUCCCAAAGUGUAAGUUAAGUGGGAAAGGAUGUGAGAUUUCUAAGACAACUAGGAUGUUGGCUUAGAAGCAGCCAUUCAUUAAAAGAGUGCGUAAUAGCUCACUAGUCGAGAGAUCUUGCGCCGAAAAUGUAACGGGGCUAAACUUACCACCGAAGCUACGGGCUUGAACUUAGUUCAAGCGGUAGGAGAGCGUCGUAACCGGGCUGAAGUCGUACCGUAAGGAGCGGUGGACUGGUUACGAGUGAGAAUGUUGGCAUCAGUAGCGAGAUGUGGGUGAGAAUCCCACAGGCCGAAAACCUAAGGUUUCCUCAGGAAGGUUCGUCCGCUGAGGGUUAGUCGGGACCUAAGCCGAGGCCGAAAGGCGUAGGUGAUGGACAACUGGUUGAUAUUCCAGUACCACUACCAUCGUUAUUAUCGAUGGCGUGACGCAGGAGGAUAGUGUGUGCUAGCUAUUGGAUGCUAGUCUAAGCGUUUAGGCAGUGAGAGUAGG
rnacentral:rRNA from 1 species